UUAUCAAAACCUUUCUGGACCCAAAAAGAGAAUUGCACACAUUGCCAAGUUCAAUGUUCCAACCAGUAAAGACAUCCUUAGCCCAUUCAGGGAGCCAGUGGCACCACUGAUGAGUCGCCCUGGCAUCCUUCGUGCCCAGCAACAGGCAGCACAGAUCACGGCUGACAUAAAGAGUGGGCAGGCUUUUGUUGCUGCCACUUCAGAACAAAAGAAAACUACAUUUGCAUGUCCAGUCUCUCAGACCCAAAGGAGAGUCUCAGGAGAAAAUUCACUUCUAUCAAACAAGCUUCAUCAGGAUGUAUUUCUAUCAAAG